GCGCUCUUAGUUCAGUUCGGUAGAACUUGGGUCUCCAAAACCUGAUGUCGUAGGUUCAAGUCCUACAGAGCGUG
rfam:Spinacia oleracea cultivar SynViroflay scaffold7866.con0003.1, whole genome shotgun sequence.